GACGAACGCUGGCGGCGUGCUUAACACAUGCAAGUCGAACGGAAAGGCCCCUUUGGGGGUACUCGAGUGGCGAACGGGUGAGUAACACGUGAGUAACCUGCCCUUGACUUCGGGAUAACUUCAGGAAACUGGGGCUAAUACCGGAUAGGAAUCCUUGCUGCAUGGUGGGGGUUGGAAAGCUUCGGCGGUUUUGGAUGGACUCGCGGCUUAUCAGCUUGUUGGUGGGGUAGUGGCUUACCAAGGCUUUGACGGGUAGCCGGCCUGAGAGGGCGACCGGCCACAUUGGGACUGAGAUACGGCCCAGACUCCUACGGGAGGCAGCAGUGGGGAAUAUUGCACAAUGGGCGGAAGCCGGAUGCAGCAACGCCGCGUGCGGGAGGACGGCCUUCGGGUUGUAAACCGCUUUCAGCAGGGGCGAAGCUUGUGGUGACGGUACCUGCAGAAGAAGCACCGGCUAACUACGUG
rnacentral:rRNA from 1 species